CCCACCUCCAGUUACUGCUCUGAGAGCUGUACAGGUUUAGUCUGUCUCCAAUCAGAUCGCCUAGUGUCGGCAUGUCUGUCUGCAGGAAGCUGCAGACCCAUCCUUGAUCCAGGUCAGUUCCUGCGCCCCACGUCAUUAGGAGCUAUCUGAUCCUUCCCGGUGACCAAGAGCAAAGCGUCCGUUCCUGUCCUGUGGCCUCUGGUUCAUGUAGGGGCUUCCUAUGUCACCCGGUCACCAGCACGGAGGGCAAUUUCUGGGCUGCCCCUCAGCCCUACAGCGUGUUCUGCCAGAUGCUGAAACUAGAACGAAAGUCACAGGACCCACAGAUAAAAGGGAUUGUGCCGAUAACAAAUGAUAACACUCCAGUGUGUGUUACUGCUCCAGCAGCUUCAAGAAUGGUGAAUGAAGUGAUUCUCCAAGAAAGCACAAGGUCUCAUGAAGAAAAGUGUUCUCAAGGCCAAUCAGCUUAGACGGAGUAAGAUUUUUCCUAGGACGCCGAUUCUGUCCCCACCUUCGAAUCACCCUGGAUCCACCGGGGUUGGACCCCGGCAAGUGGCGCCCUCACAACCAGAGAAAAGCCCACACGGCAACGAAGACCCAGCACAGCCAAAACUAAAACUAAGAAUACUUGGGUGAAAAUAGGCAUAGACUCUAUUUAACAAGUUGCUGACCCAGCAGAUUUAUGUUCUGAGUCAAGCAGGAAGGACUCCCACAAUUCUUAGAGGAAGUGAGACGUUUGUGAUGGAGCAUCCAAGCAGCUUCUUUGGGGCUGUUUCAGAUCCAGUUCAUGUUGUUGCUGUUCCACCUUCUUGCAAAACUGAUCUUUGAAUGACCAUGCCUCUCAUUUUAAUCGGCUUUGCAAUGAGUUUUUUGGGGUUUUGGGAGUUUGUUUGUUUGUUUGUUUGUUUUUUGAGUGUUCACAUUUAUUGUCUUAUCAUUCGUUUAUGCUCCUUUUCUUUUUUUUUUUGCUAGCACAAAGUCUUUUUUGAGAUUGACACGUCUAAAAUGGCUUAGAUUUUUUAAAAUUAAUUUUUACUGGAGUGUAAUUUUUUUCAUAAUAUUGUGUUAGUCUCCAAGAAAGUGAAUCAACAACAGGAGGAGGAAACGGCAACCCAUCCCAGUCUUCUUGCUGGGAUAAUCCUAUGAACAGAGGAGCCUGGUGGGCUAAGUCCAUGGGGUCACUAAGAACUGAACAUGACUAAGUGACUUGACCAUCACCACAUAAUUGUUUCAUAACACUGUGUUAGUCUCCACUAUACAGUAAAAUGAAUCAGCUAUACAUGUACAUAUAUCCCCUCUUUUUUGGGUUCUCCUUCCCAUUUAGAGCACUGAGUAGAGUUCUCCGAGCUAUCCAGUAGGUUCCCGUUGGUUAUAUGUCAAUUCCAAUCUCCUAAUUAUCCACCCUAUGCCUCCGUAAUGAGGCGUGUUUGGAGAGAAAUCAUCUCACCAGUUCCAUGUAAGCCCUGGCUGUUUCAUUCAAAUUCUAUUGUGAAUUAAAGAUUUCUUGCAUCUCAUGUAUUAUUACAUUGCUGUAUGACUUGCCAUGAGCUAGAGAGGUUUUCAAACCUCAGAGCACUCUAAUACUAACUCCAGUUCUCAAACAUACUUCUUUCAUGUAGGAGGCCGUUUUCUCUGUGACCCACGAGGAUCUCCACGUAUAAACAGAGCUGUCCUGGUGACCUCAGCCUGACUCAGGCCCUCAGUCUCGGGCCUGUGCGUGUGCUUAGUCGCUCAGUCGUGUCCAACUCUCUGUGACCUCAUGGACGGUAGCCCACCAGGCUCCUGUGCCCAUGGGGUUCUCCAGGCAAAAAUACUGGAGUGGGCUGCCAUUCCCUCCUCCAGGGGAUCUUCCCAAACCAGGGAUAGAACCCAAGUCUGGCAUUGUGGGAGUAUUCUUUAGCAUCUGAGCCACCAGGGAAGCCCAAGAAUACUGGAGUGGGUAGCCUGUCCCUUCUCUAGGGGAACUUCCCAACCCAGGAAUCCAACCAGGGUCUCCUGCAUUGCAGGCAGAUUCUCUACCAGCUGAGCCAUCGGGAAGCCCAAUUUCAGGCCUUCACAGUCUCAUUCUCAUUUGUCCAAUGGGGUGGCUCCUGACUGCUAUUACCUUGAACUGCCCACUGAGUUUAUGCAAAGUAAUUUUAACAGAUACCUGCCAGUUCCCUGAAGUGGAGACUCAACUGAAGGCUUUAAUAAUCCUGCUUAAGCAGAUACCCACAUAUCUUCAUGGACAGAUGGUGUGCAACUCUGCAUCAUUUAAAAAUGCCACCCAGCCUAUCAACUGAUGCCUAGAGAAUGUGAGCCUGAACGAUAACAAUGUGUGGGCUGAGGCCACAGAUGUCGCAUCAGUCAUCCUUGGGGGUCUUCUUGCACUGACCUUGGGAAGCCCAGCUUAUGAUCUCAGGAUGGACCGAAAAAUGAUCUUUGUAUUACUGUUGUCAGGUAGGUGGAAUUUUUUUUAAGCAGGAUUCUGUUAUAUGGGACAUAGGAUUAUAGAGAGAAGAAAAACCAUCUCAUUUUAGUCCUGUCUGACUUAGCUGAAUGACUGAAUGAGUAGUAUUCAGACCCCAUCUUGUUGUUUAGUCACUCAGUCGCAUCCAACUCUUUGUGACCCUGUGGACUGUAGCCCGCCAGGCUCCUCUGUCCAUGGGAUUUCCCGGGCAGGAAUAUGGGAGUGGGUUGCCAUUCCCUUCUCCAGGAGAUCAUCCCGCCCCAGGGGUGAAACCCACAUCUCCUGCAUUGGCAGGUAGAUUCUUUGCCACUGAGCCCCCAGGACCCCAGCCCAGCCUGGUGGAUGGAUGUUUUAUUGAGAGUGGGUUGGUAAGGUGGGGGAAGUUACCCAUGGCUGGAUCACCUUGAGAGGCCUGCUGUUCAUUUGUAAGCCUAGCCAGCCCUGAAACAAUGUAAUCAAAUACUCUGCAAAACAAGUCUCUGUGAAAGAACGUGUUGCUUUGUUGGCAUUUUCAUGAGUUUAAUUUCUAAAUUAAAGAGUCAUUAAUGAAGGUAAUGGUGGGUCUAUGUUCCUUAUUUUCCAAAAAGUUUUCCCAAAAGUUAUAAUUUCGUCUUUCUCCUGUCAGAUAAUCACAAGCCACAUAUGAACCCUGAAUCCACGGCAGCGGCACUGGGGGGCGAGGGGGUCGUUAUUUUCCACUUUGUGGUCCCUUACUGAGAAGUGAUACAGGGGAACAAAAAUGAAAGAAAGAAAGAAAGGACUCUUAUUGGCUGAGGGAUUAUGUGGUUUAGGCAGAAAUGGAAAUCAAUUCAUUAAAAUAAAAAGUAACAGAGGCGUAUUAUGAAGUAGUAUCAAAUUAGCAUUAUUUUUGGCCCCUUCCUGAGAGUGUCAGGAUUAAAAGUUCUUCUCAAAUACAGCGUUUAUGUGUCAAAAAUACUAGUGCCCAGCACCUAGAUAAGGAGCAGGCAUUUAUUUGAAAUGUGUUUAGCUCCCUCAGACGUGGGUGUAAUUUGAGUUACAGAGAGUCUCAAGAAUCAACUGAGCACUCUAGGAAUUGGAGGAGGGAUUCAGGAAUUUCUUAGAUGUUAGGUUGGCUAAAAAAUUCAUUCGUUCAUCUUUUUUAAAUUUAUUUAUUUUUAUUUUACUUUACAAUACUGUAUUGAUUUUGCCAUACAUUGACAUGAAUCCGCCACAGGUGUACAUGAGUUCCCAAUCCUGAACCCCCCUCCCAUGUCUCUCCCCAUUUCAUCUCCCUGGGUCAUCCCAGUGCACCAGCCCCAAGCAUCCUGUAUCCUGCCUCGAACCUAGACUGGCGAUUCGUUUCCUACAUGAUAGUAUACAUGUUUCAAUGCCAUUCUCCCAAAUCAUCCCACCCUCUCCGUCCCCCACAGAGUCCAAAAGUCUCUUGUAUACAUCUGUGUCUCUUUUGCUGUCUCGCAUACAGGGUUAUCAUGACCAUCUUUCUAAAUUCCAUAUAUGUGUGUUAGUAUACUGUACUGGUGUUUUACCUUCUGGCUUACUUGACUCUGUAUAAUCAGCUCCAGUUUCAUCCACCUCGUUAAAAUGGAUUCAAAUGUAUUCUUUUUAAUGGCUGAAUAAUACUCUACUGUGUAUAUGUACCACAGCCCUUAUCCAUUCAUCUGCUGAUGGACAUCUAGGUUGCUUCCAUGUCCUGCCUAUUAUAAACAGUGCUGUGAUGAACAUUGGGGUACACGUGUCUCUUUCAAUUCUGGUUUCCUCGGUGUGUAUGCCCAGCGGUGGGAUUGCUGGGUCAUAAGGCAGUUCUAUUUCCAGUUUUUUAAGGAAUCUCCACACUGUUCUCCAUAGUGGCUGUACUAGUUUGCAUUCCCACCAACAGUGUAAGAGGGUUCCCUUUUCUCCACACUCUCUCCAGCAUUUAUUGCUUGUAGACUUUUGGAUCACAGCCAUUCUGACUGGUAUGAAAUGGUAUCUCAUUGUGGUCUUGAUUGGCAUUUCUCUGAUAAUGAGUGAUGUUGAGCAUCUUUUCAUGUGUUUGUCAGCCAUCUGUAUGUCUUCUUUGGAGAAAUGUCUAUUUAGUUCUUUGGCCCAUUUUUUGAUUGGGUCGUUUAAUUUUCUGUAUAACUCUGUGAACAUCUCUGAGUGGUCCAGACUGUGGAGCGCACAUAAGGAAGUGAUUACUGGCUAGCUUGCUCUCUCCUCUUUUGAUCCCGCCUCAUCUCAUUCCAGUCACCUCCAACUCCCCCCUCCCUCUUCUCUUCUCCUUGUAACUCUGUGAACCUCUCUGGGUGUCCCUCAAUGUGGAAAAACUUUUCAUCUUUAACCUAGAUGUUUUAUCAUCGGUGCUGCAUAGAUGGAGAAGUCUUGAGGCUACUGUAAAAAUAAAACUGAAAACCAGAAGCAGGAGGCUUAAAGUCCAAAUCCUGAGAACAUCAGAGAACUCCUGACUCCAGGGAACAUUAAUCGAUAGGAGCUCAUCAAACGCCUCCAUACCUACACUGAAACCAAGCACCACCCAAGGGCCAACAAGUUCCAGAGCAAGACAUACCACACAAAUUCUCCAGCAACACAGGAACACACCCCUGAGCUUCAAUAUACAGGCAGCUCAAGUUACUCCCAAACCACUGACAUCUCAUAACUCAUUACUGGACACUUCAUUCGUUCAUAAGGUGUUAUGGAAAUAUCUGAACAAACUUUUUGCCUGACCCUGCACUAGGGGGUAAAAUGUGUAACGGUUAAAGCACACAUAGGAAAGAACUAGUUUCAAGCCUGGCUUCACGUCUGAAAGGCAGGGAGCAUUGAUGUAGGUGACUCCACGGCACACACACACACACACACUGCUCCCCC
ensembl:lncRNA